CACGCCCUGGGCCAAAGGCAGGCGCCAAACCGCUGCACCACCCAGGGAUCCCUCUGUGGGUCAUUCUUGUUGCCACCAGUACGGUGUGCAUGGCUGCUUCAUCUACUGCUGGAAAAAGUUGCUUUCUUGUCUCUUUAAGGCAUUUCAAAAGUGUGAAAAGACUGAAUUGAUCCCCAAGUUUUAAACAAAUGAGAGAAAAGUUAAGCACUUUAGUGGCUUUAUUAAUGUUAAUUUUUUUAAAAAUCAAGCUAUUUUUUAGGUUGUUAAGAAAUGGAUCUUUAGGGUUUUUGCAAAAGGAUUGCCUGGUUAGAAAAAGAUUAGAAAGUCAGUCUCAGGCAGCAGUGUAUAGAGAUACAGAACACUUCACCUAGAGGAAAGAAAAAGCCAGCAUCCCCCCUUCAUCUCCAUUGUGUUAUUCCUUAAUGCUUCACUUGGCAGGACAAAGGAAGUCUGAUGUCUCAGAGCCAGUCCUUGGGUCCCAAGAGGAGGAUUAACAGACUCAUAGAAAAGAUCCCCACUCAGGAACACAUAUGCAAUGGAAGAGACGGAGUGGCUCCUUCCUAUUGCAGCAUGGACACUAUGUCUGAAGAGGUAAAGCAACAAAAGUUGAGGUUCCUGAUGACUAUGGAGCUCCCACAGCUAUGUUGGACCAACUAUAGUUUCAGUGCUAAUCCAAAGGAGAAAAUACCUAACACAGGAAUUUCAAGCAUCAAUUUCAAAUGAGCUACUGGAAAUAGUUUUGGGCAAGAUGGCCUGUUGGGACUCACACAAGAAAUUUUACCACUUAAGAUUUCAAGUGAAGAACAGCAACAGGGGAUAUUGAAAAGAUAGGAAUGUGUUAAGAAAUUGAUUUUUUCUUAAAGUCAAGAAGAGAAGAAAUUUUAAGAGGGACGAAAAGGAUGACAAAUAUUGCUGAAUUCUACAGGGAAACUGAAGACAAUGAGAAGCACGGCAAGGCAUUUGGAUUUAGUGAACAUGAAUAAACAAAAAGCAUGAAGAAAUCAGUUUUGUUAUGAUAGAGUAAAUUUAAGAUAUAGAGCAAUAAAUAAUUAUAUUUGGAAAGCAAGUGGAGGCAGUGAAUAUAAAUUCUUCUUUCAUAAAUAUUAUCAAAGGAAUAAAGGGGAAAGAUAGAAUUAAAGCUUAAGAGGGUAGAGGGAGAAAAGGGCAAUAUUUG